rnacentral:rRNA from 1 species
CACGUAGGGUGCAAGCGUUGUCCGGAAUCAUUGGGCGUAAAGAGCUCGUAGGCGGCUUAGUAAGUCGGGUGUGAAACCCCCAGGCUCAACCUGGGGACGCCACCCGAUACUGCUAUAGCUAGAGUCCAGUAGGGGAGUGCGGAAUUCCCGGUGUAGCGGUGAAAUGCGCAGAUAUCGGGAGGAACACCAGCGGCGAAGGCGACUUUCUGGUCUGUAACUGACGCUGAGGCGCGAAAGCGUGGGGAGCAAACAGG